GACGAACGCUGGCGGCGUGCCUAAUACAUGCAAGUUGAGCGAUGAAGAUUGGUGCUUGCACCAAUUUGAAGAGCAGCGAACGGGUGAGUAACGCGUGUGGAAUCUGCCUUUGAGCGGGGGACAACAUUUGGAAACGAAUGCUAAUACCGCAUAACAACUUUAAACAUAAGUUUUAAGUUUGAAAGAUGCAAUUGCAUCACUCAAAGAUGAUCCCGCGUUGUAUUAGCUAGUUGGUGAGGUAAAGGCUCACCAAGGCGAUGAUACAUAGCAGACCUGAGAGGGUGAUCGGCCACAUUGGGGCUGAGACACGGCACAAACUCCUACGGGAGGCAGCAGUAGGGAAUCUUGGGCAAUGGACGAAAGUCUGAGCGAGCAACGCGGCGUGAGUGAAGAAGGUUUUCGGAUCGUAGAACUCUGUUGGUAGAGAAGAACGUUGGUGAGAGUGGAAAGCUCAUCAAGUGACGGUAACUACCCAGAAAGGGACGGCUAACUACGUG
rnacentral:rRNA from 1 species